AGUGAACGCUGGCGGUAGGCCUAACACAUGCAAGUCGAACGGCAGCACAGUAAGAGCUUGCUCUUACGGGUGGCGAGUGGCGGACGGGUGAGGAAUACAUCGGAAUCUACUUUUUCGUGGGGGAUAACGUAGGGAAACUUACGCUAAUACCUCAUACGACCUACGGGUGAAAGCAGGGGAUCUUCGGACCUUGCGCGAUUGAAUGAGCCGAUGUCGGAUUAGCUAGUUGGCGGGGUAAAGGCCCACCAAGGCGACGAUCCGUAGCUGGUCUGAGAGGAUGAUCAGCAACACUGGAACUGAGACACGGUCCAGACUCCUACGGGAGGCAGCAGUGGGGAAUAUUGGACAAUGGGCGCAAGCCUGAUCCAGCCAUACCGCGUGGGUGAAGAAGGCCUUCGGGUUGUAAAGCCCUUUUGUUGGGAAAGAAAAGCAGCAGGUUAAUACCCCGCUGUUCUGACGGUACCCAAAGAAUAAGCACCGGCUAACUUCGUG
rnacentral:rRNA from 1 species